GAUGAACGCUAGCGGCAGGCCUAACACAUGCAAGUCGAGCGAACCUUCGGGUUAGUGGCGGACGGGUGAGUAACGCGUGAGAAUCUGCCCUCAGGAGGGGGACAACAGCUGGAAACGGCUGCUAAUACCCCAUAUGCCGCGAGGUGAAAUGAAUUUCGCCUGAGGAUGAGCUCGCGUCUGAUUAGCUAGUUGGUGUAGGUAAUGGCUCACCAAGGCAUCGAUCAGUAGCUGGUCUGAGAGGAUGAUCAGCCACACUGGGACUGAGACACGGCCCAGACUCCUACGGGAGGCAGCAGUGGGGAAUUUUCCGCAAUGGGCAAAAGCCUGACGGAGCAACGCCGCGUGAGGGAUGAAGGCCUCUGGGCUGUAAACCUCUUUUAUCAAGGAAGAAGAUCUGACGGUACUUGAUGAAUAAGCCACGGCUAAUUCCGUG
rnacentral:rRNA from 1 species